rnacentral:tRNA from 1 species
CACACAGAGGUUAAAAUCCUCUCACUUCC